rnacentral:rRNA from 1 species
UACGGAGGGUGCAAGCGUUAAUCGGAAUUACUGGGCGUAAAGGGUGCGUAGGUGGUUUAUUAAGUUAGUUGUGAAAUUCCUGGGCUUAACCUGGGCUGGAAAACUAAUACUGAUAGACUGGAGUAUAGGAGAGGGUAGUGGAAUUUCCGGUGUAGCGGUGAAAUGCGUAGAGAUCGGAAGGAACACCAGUGGCGAAGGCGGCUACCUGGCCAGAUACUGACACUGAAGCACGAAAGCGUGGGGAGCAAAC